UCCGGAUGACCUGUGUGGUAGCCUCCAGAACAAUAUCUUCACUUCUCCCUCUCUGUUUCUUUCUCUUUCUCUUACACACACACGCAUUUCUCUGCCUCUAUCUCACACAAACAAAUUCUCUCUCAUACACACAUAGAUCACCGGCAGAGAAGUGGAGAUCGGCGUUCUACAUGUUUUUUUUUUUUGUUUUUUUGUUCUGGUUUGAUUAGUUUUAUUUUAUUGCUCAGAUUUCAUUAGGCUUAUGAGAAAUAUUGUUUUUGUGUUUCAAAUCUUUCGAUUGGGUUUUGUGUUUUUGUUUUGAUUGUGGAAUGUUACCGUUGAGAUAGAGAAGCACGAGAGAGUGAAGAACGAAAGAGAAAAGGAAUGAGAGAGAAAGAAUUAUUUUUUUAUUCAACCGGGUAAUCUUUUAAGGGAGGAUAUUUUUUAGAUAUGCUACAGUAAUUGCUACAGUGCUCUCCAUGUCUGGAGAGAAAAAAAUUUGGAGAUGGAGAGGUUGUUGGGAGGCAUUUUUUGUGUGAACAGUAGCUUUUCUCUCCAAAAUUUAGAGAUAGCCAGCCUGCUGGUGAUGCUCUAAUACCGCUCAGAUCCAUAUUCACUCAAGAUAUGGCUCCAAAUCCAAUUGAAUUGCCAUGGGAUGAAGUUAGACACUUCACCCAUUUUAAUUUCAAAAUUGGUGAAGGGGGUUUUGGUGCCGUUUACAAGGGACUCUAUGGAGAUGAUGUUGUGGCUGUGAAAGUCGCUGACUACAACAGGACCACAGACCCCAAAUUCAAACAAUGGAAGGCAGAAGUACAUGCCCUGAGUCAGUUGGUACACCAGAAUAUUAUUAGACUCUGGGGGUAUGGUCACAGCAAACAGGAGAAAAAGCUGCUUCUAAUCUAUGAUUUCAUGCCAACCGAUGUGAAAAAGGAGAUUUCAGGUAAUCAGAAAACUUUUAUAAAUGAUAGAAAAAAGAGGAAUAGAAGUUCAUGAUGAUGAACAACUAGAAAAAAAGGAAGUCAGGAAACUAAACUAAGGGAGGACAAACUCAGAGAGAGAAGAACAAUCAUUAAAACCCCAACACCGAGACCACUCCAAAAGACUACGGUGGCAUAAAAGCUUUAACUCAUCCAACGUCUUCUCUUUGUCCGAGUUAUGCUUCCCAGGCCACUGAUGCCAGCAAGAUAACAAACCCGCCACUGAUCCUAGCAUAACCCAAAGAAUACUAAAGGCUUAAAGCAUAAAGCUUCAUGGGGAAUGGGUAACAGGACAAUGAGGAAGAAGAAGGUGGUUAACCGACUCCCCAUCACAGCAACACAUACAACACCUAUUAGCCAAAGGCCGACCCUUAAGCAUUAGAUUAUCCAAAGUGAGGAUCCGACCAUGUGAAGUAGGCAUGACCUUUAAUGCGUUGCUUCUCCUUUGCAUACAUGAUUAAAUCUUUUUCUCUUUUUCUCUUUUCUUAGCUCCUGUAAAGGUCACUUCUUCAACUUUCAUGAUAAGCUGCAACAUCAAGAUGCCCAAGCUUUAUACAGCUGCUUCUGCACUUGCAUGCACGGCAUUUUAUUGUAAAAUUAUAAGUUAGUUUACACAAAUACACACACAUGUUUGCACAAAGUUUGGUUUUUUAUUUGGGAGUUUGUUACCUGUGAUCUCUGGUGCUGAAUAUCCAGGAGUAGUUGUAGGUAUGUUUCUACCAUUCGGCAUGGCCGAGCCAAAGUCACCUAUCUUCACUUUUCCGCCCUGAACACGGAGGAAUAAAGUUUAGGCAAAACAGAAGAUUUAUAACAUAAAAAAUCUUGUGAAAGAUAGCAAAUGUUUUUAUCAUUAACAUACGUCUGUAAUUCCUAUAGAUCUAACUUACCUCAUCAAGUAAAAUAUUUCCUGGUUUGAGGUCUGCAUAAAUGAACUGGGGUUCAAAGUUAUGCAUGAAAACAAUGGCUGAUGUUGUGUCCUUGAGAAUGUUCAAAGUCUGAAGUCCUAUGAAAGAUGAACCAUAACUUUGAACAUUCUCAAGGACACAACAUCAGCCAUUGUUUUCAUGCAUAACUUUGAACCCCAGUUCAUUUAUGCAGAUCCAAACCAGGAAAUAUUUUACUUGAUGAGGUAAGUUAGAUCUAUAGGAAUUACAGACGUAUGUUAAUGAUAAAAACAUUUGCUAUCUUUCACAAGAUUUUUUAUGUUAUAAAUCUUCUGUUUUGCCUAAACUUUAUUCCUCCGUGUUCAGGGCGGAAAAGUGAAGAUAGGUGACUUUGGCUAGGCCAUGCCAAAUGGUAGAAACAUACCUACAACUACUCCUGGAUAUUCAGCACCAGAGAUCACAGUGCAUGCAAGUGCAGAAGCAGAUGUAUACAGCUUGGGCAUCUUGAUGUUGCAGCUUAUCAUGAAAGUUGAAGAAGUGACCUUUACAGGAGCUAAGAAAAGAGAAAAAGAUUUAAUCAUGUGUGCAAAGGAGAAGCAACGCAUUAAAGGUCAUGUAGUUCACAAAAAUCUGCUAAAAGAUGGAUGCACUGAAGAAAAGGCUACCAAAAUCACAGAGUUGGGCUUGUGGUGUGACCAAACUUCUCCUAGGGGGAGACCAAUAUUGGAUGAAGUACUAACCUGCCUCAACCAAAUUUCAUGAAAUUACGAGGUGCAGUACAAACGAGGUCUUCUUGUUAUACACCUGCUCUUUAAGUGCCAAACAUAAAUAGGGUGCAAGAAAGAACCUUUUAAUUUUCUGUUAUCAUGUUAAAAAACAUUGCAUUCCGUUUCAUUAUGUUACUACCCUCUGUUUUAUAGAGAAUGUUGGAAAACAAAAUCAAAUUAGCUUAUGCUCAUGCACUUCAUUAUUUGCAGUGGUUUUAAAAGUUGCACAGUAGGCACACCUCUUAGUGUAACAAUAUCACAUUUCAUUCACUUAAAUUGUGCCCUAAUGCAUUGUAACAACUACCAUAUGAUGAUUUUACUGAAACUAUCACCUAGGUGUCAUUUGGACUUCA